UGUUCCUGUUCACACCACAGCUGCUGAGAAACACUGUGGUUUUCUGCUGAUGUAUCUCUUCUGCUGCACUCAGCGAACGUGAAAACGUGAAUGUUUGAGCUGUUUCUGUUCAGCUUUUCUCUAAAGUCUUUCUCUAAUGAGUACGACAGCCUCUACUUAGGGAAGUGUUGUGACUGCAGGGCUCGACAACACAACUCUUUCUGCUACACUUGUAUCUGGACUGAAAGCAUGUCCCAUCUCAAUGCUCAUUACCACGCACAACAGACUUCUGCAAGAGACCCUGCUCCAUUUGACUCCUCAGAAUGGGAGCACACACACACAGAGGCCCCUGGGCCCUGCCACUACUCACUCAAACAGCGACACUCCGAUGAGAGGAGCGGAGCCCAUUAACGUGAAGCAGCCGCUGCUGCACUCUCUGUUGAUGACGAUAAUGCACACAUGGAUUUGCAGAGAGAGUUACCCAC